CCUUCACACUGUCGGGCUACAUCAUUAACUGGAACAAGGCUAUAGACUUGUCUCGCAAGAGCCAUCCCGGGGCCAUCGUCCACCUCAGCGACUGCCCCGUAGACCCUGGCAAGCUCCUGUUGGGGUUCGAGACGGGC